rnacentral:tRNA from 1 species
UCUAAUAUGGCAGAAUAGUGCAGUGGAUUUAAGCUCCACAAAUAAAGUUUACUACUUUUUUUUAGAA